rnacentral:rRNA from 1 species
CCUGGUAGUCCACGCCGUAAACGUUGGGCGCUAGAUGUGGGUCACAUUCCACGUGAUCCGUGUCGCAGCUAACGCAUUAAGCGCCCCGCCUGGGGAGUACGGCCGCAAGGCUAAAACUCAAAGGAAUUGACGGGGGCCCGCACAAGCGGCGGAGCAUGCGGAUUAAUUCGAUGCAACGCGAAGAACCUUACCAAGGCUUGACAUAUACAGGAAAACUGCAGAAAUGUAGUCCCCGCAAGGUCUGUAUACAGGUGGUGCAUGGUUGUCGUCAGCUCGUGUCGUGAGAUGUUGGGUUAAGUCCCGCAACGAGCGCAACCCUCGUCCUAUGUUGCCAGCACGUUAUGGUGGGAACUCAUGGGAGACUGCCGGGGUCAACUCGGAGGAAGGUGGGGAUGACGUCAAAUCAUCAUGCCCCUUAUGUCUUGGGCUUCACGCAUGCUACAAUGGCCGGUACAAAGGGCUGCAAUACCGUAAGGUGGAGCGAAUCCCAAAAAGCCGGUCUCAGUUCGGAUUGAGGUCUGCAACUCGACCUCAUGAAGUCGGAGUCGCUAGUAAUCGCAGAUCAGCAACGCUGCGGUGAAUACGUUCCCGGGCCUUGUACACACCGCCCGUCAAGUCACGAAAGUCGGUAACACCCGAAGCCGGUGGCCUAACCGUAAGGAAGGAGCCG